CAGCCUUCUCCUCUUCAGUGUCAGAGGCAUUAGGGUCUUCCUCCUCAUCGCUAGGCAAGUCGCUCGCCCCCUCGUGGGUCAUUGUGGCCACCAGAGUGCCAACUGCCUUCCCCAGGUCGCCUGAUAAAGGAGAUAGAGACAGCAGCAUUGAAGUUGGGUUGUGACAGUUUUUCAUCUGUUGAGGAUAAACACGCGAUUUAAAAAAAUAAGAAACCACAAUCACUUAGAAACAGUACUGCUGCAUCUAGAAUAUUUAGGUGAAGAUGAAAAGGUUCCCAGAAAUAACAAAAUUAUUGUUAAAAUUUUGAGUCUGUGAGAUACUAAACAUGGUAAAUUGAACGUUGACUAACUUGACUCAUUUACGUAGUGUACUCUAUACUAAACACAUGCGAGGUGUAUAAGGCACUUCCAAUUGGCUCGACUGCUGCAUUGGAAAAGGCGAGAUCCUCUGAGGGCUGUGAUUAAGUGUUCCGUUCCUGACUACACCAGCACUGCAAUGUGAGAUGAAAAGGGACGAACGUGAUGACACCCCUCAAGACCCUGUCUACUGUCCAGAGUCCCCACUCAUCCUCCAUCCCCAGAAGAGUAUACCCCAAUCAGCUGAUUUCCUUUCACUCAUACAAUACCUGGUGAAAUCACGAUUCGAGGAUCGUGCCUGGAUUGGACAAGAGGAGGAAGAAGAAGAGAAGAAAAUGGGCAGCUACAGUGCCUUUCUACAAAUCGCCCCUCCUCAUAUAGGAAGCCCCAGUGCAUGUCCUUUGACAUUUGCAGCUCUUGCCUCACUACCAGUGUGUGUCACAUUCCCAUCAGUACUCCCUCCACAGAAAGUAAUUACUAAGAUGCAACUUUUCAAAAAUUUUGGGAAUGGUAACAUAUUCAUGGAAUCAUGGAAUGAUUAUUCAGUUAUGGUAACUGACCAAGUUACCAAGAGAGAAGCAAUUACUCCAGAUGAGGAUGUGUUACCUUGGAGACACAAGGAUCCCCCAAGCACACCAUAUAGACAUGACACCAGAUUGUCUUGAAUCCCCUUCAAGUACACAAAAAUGCUUUGCAGCAAGAAUCUUUGAUGAAGGAGCUGCUCACCUGUAAACAGUUAGUGGGAGGGGGUUUUCACUAGACUCAAGAACGUGGCAGAGGAAGUAGAAGUCUGUCCCAGAAAAUCUUCUCUGCCUGCGAGCAAACAAAGAUAAUCAUCCUCAUGGGGAUUUAGAACUGAUUGAGAAACGUGUAGCCAUCGACACCAACCCUCUAGGCUACAUUAUCAACACUGUUGCAUCUAGGAGGGCACUUCUGCUUCUCGUCCUCAUGGGGAUUUAGGGAUGAAGAGCUGACUGAGAAACUUGUAGCCCUCAACACCAACACCCUUCUACACCAUUAUCAACACUUGUCGCACCUAUGAGGGCACUUCUGUCUCUUGUGCCCUCUCAAACUAUAGGAAGCAGAAGAUAAUGGAAAGGGUGCCACCCCUACUACACCAUCACAGAUUGUUUCAUGCCACUGCACAAACAGAUCCACAGAGAAGUAUCAGCAGCAACUGUGAUUACAAGGGGUUCUUGGUCAAGUCACUGCCAGAUAGGUUCAGUACCGCCACUACAACUGACAUGGACAAUAUGACAAGUGCUGUUGGAAGAAAACAGGAGGCCACUUCCAUUGCGCAGCCUAUACCACACACUCGAGGCAAGAACCCCAGCUGUUAUUGGAUGGUUGGCCCACCCCUUCUCUCAAGACUCCAUCCAAUCUCCAUUUCCCUCUUGUAUGGUGAAGUCUCAUCGAGGAUUUGGAUGUUACCAGACACAGCACUGAUGUCUUUGAUAUGGGCCCCCGCCAUCUUGACCUGGACAUUCCUAAGAGUGCAUUACAACCCUAACAGUUAGUCCAGUGUUCACCACAGAUGGCUUUACAAUGACACCUUUGGAUGGUGAAAUCACAUCCAAGAUUUAGACAUUACCAGUCACAGAUGCUGAUGUCUGUUACAACCCCCACCAGUUAGUCCAGUGUUCACCACAGACAGCACUACCAUGACACCUGCCUUAUGAUUUUUCACAACCACUCUCACCUUGAACUGUCCUGUUCAGUGAAGGAUUCUCAAGUCCAUGAAAGUAUCUGAACAUCAUUGUAAAGAGUUGGCCAUUAUUCUGUCAGUCUCUCCCAGACCUAUUCCAUAUGAAAAUAUGUCAAUAGCUUGUCUCCUAGUAAGAGCUCAAGACGAUGGAAAAACAGAUAAUGCGAAUCUAUUCUCAGGAGGAGGAAAUACCUUUCGCCACCAUUGCACCUUGCUAGAUAUGUACCACAUACCUACCGGGAACAAGUCGAGGCAGAACUUGAGCUCAACCUCGGUCAUUCUCACAGGAAUGGCUUGAGAAAGCUCUAGACCGCAUUCACUGUGCUGCUGCCAGAGUCAGACUUGUACAAAGGUUGUACAAGUGACAUGUGCGAUCUACACAGGCUAGAUCAUCAUGAAAGGCUGGUCAGGCAACUAUGAAGUACUGUUUCCCCAGGGGACAAGUAUGCUGGAGGAACUGGCUAUUCCUGUAUCCAGUACCAACACAUGGUUUUUUAGCCCGUUAAUCCACUUAUGCUGCUGUAAAAAUCUGGGUUAACAGCACUGUGAGCCCAGCUGUAGUCCUGAACGAUGUAACAGCAACUGUAUUCUUUUGCCUCAGGUGUGCAUCAUUAAGUGGCAACUGAACACAUUCAAAUCCAAUGCUUGGCAGUAUACACCGCUUCCCCUCCCGAGUUUGGUUGCUCAAAUGUAAAGUCCUUUUUGCAAUGUAGCGGUACCUAAUAAACAACCUACAUUUUA